rnacentral:lncRNA from 1 species
AAUAAUUUUAGUUUAUCCUUGCAGGUAUUGAAUUUACUGUCAGAAAGUAGAAGCUGUUGGCCAACAGUGUCUUAACAGAAGGCUACACAGUCUGCAUCUACAAGCUAGCUGUUCAGCAAUAGGAUACUAAGUCAUGGAUCAAAGCUUGUUAGCAGAGUUACUCCCUACCAAUGGCUCUCUGUCUUACGAGAAAGGUACUGUGUUUUACUAUUUGCUGUCUAUGUUAUAGCCAUUCUGAGAUUUUGCAGUAACUUUGGGAAGGGCUGUGGCAUGUCAAGUUUGACCACCCCUUUAUUCUAAUUUAUUAGUCUGCUCAGAGUUGGCCCAAGAAAGCUUAGUAUUGCUUGCCAAGGAGGUAUAUAUUAUUGUUUGCCAUAACUGCAGUGCAGUAAUUUUGUUAUUUCUACU